AACUCAGGUGCACUGGGUCCCUUGAGAGUCCACAUGAAUUUUAGGAUAGAUUUUUCUAUUUUUGCAAAAAACAUCAUUGGAAUUUUUACCUCCUUGAGUUCUCCGCCACCAACUUCCAUAACCAUCAGGAUAUUCUACAACUUCUGCAAGAUUAACAAUUUUACCAUACACUGUAUUUGUCUCACGUGGUUUAAAACAUCCAGAAAUCAUUGAUAAACUGACCCUGCCCAAACUAAAGCAUGGUAACUGGCCGCCACUGCCCAGUCAGCCCCCCAUGAGGUCCAGCCCGAGGUGGGCAGCACUUUGUGCUCGGGGCCUGUCCAGCAGGGAGCCUGCCUUGAUCUCUGCAAUCAGGAAUGUGGCUGAGCAAAUGCAGCUUGUACCUGCUGGAUGGAUACACCUCCCAGAUGCUCUGUUGCUAGAAGGUUCCUGGCAGUGCAGGGAAAGGUGGCUCUGCAGGUGGAGGCUCCACAUAAUGGGCUCAAAACAUCUGGUCCAGUGGUUAAAAGCUGUUCACAGGGGUGAUUGGACCCCACUAAGCAUUCUUUCGUCUGUAGUGAAUAUUUCACCAAAAACAGCUCUAGGAAAGGCUGGAGGAUCAGUACUAUGUGCUCAAGCCAUGGCCACGCCCUCCAUCUUCCACCUGACCGAGAAGUGGGGGCUGAAGGCCACGGCCGCCCCAGGAGAAAGGACACUAGGAAGGCCACCGGGGGGCCUGAGGAACAUGCGCGUGAAGCAGAUGGGAAAGGAGUUUCAGGUUUAUUGUGGUCCUUGAGGGAAAAGCUGAGGGCCCAGCCGUGGUCCCGCAAGUGGAAGUAACCCGCUCUGCAGGGUGAACACGCACCCAGUGCUGCCCAGGAAGCUGCCAGUCAGGAUUGGGCGCAGUCUCUGGAAGGAACUCCAGGAGACAGUGUGGCCUCCACAGCAUUAGGCAGCCAAGGAGAUGCAAACACGUCUGCUGUAGAUGCUGGUGAUGAGACCCCCUCUUCCCAGCCAAGGCCUGCUGGGUAAGAGUGGCAUUUCCGUGGAUGACUUUAUCCCUCAGGAUCGGGGCAUGCAGAUUUAUUGGCUGGCUUCCUUCUUACAGUUUCUUCUCAGAGCACACUCAAGAGAGGCCAUCUGUCCCUUGAGAGGCUGUUGACCAAAAGAGGCUGAAGAAGGAUGUGGAGCCCAGCUACAGCGGGACCAGCCUGGGGCCUGAUGAGAGCUUGGCCCAGAACCCCCAAGCUCAUCAUUCACAAUGAUGCCUCAGAAACCCUCCCAGA